AAGCUAACACAUCUCUUUUAGAAAUUUGUCUGGCAGGUUUUCUGAUUUUGGUAAGAAAACCCAU
ensembl:snRNA Gm24249 U7 small nuclear RNA